rnacentral:rRNA from 1 species
GAUGAACGCUGGCGGCGUGCCUAAUACAUGCAAGUCGAGCGAACGGACGAGAAGCUUGCUUCUCUGAUGUUAGCGGCGGACGGGUGAGUAACACGUGGAUAACCUACCUAUAAGACUGGGAUAACUUCGGGAAACCGGAGCUAAUACCGGAUAAUAUUUUGAACCGCAUGGUUCAAAAGUAAAAGACAGUCUUGCUGUCACUUAUAGAUGGAUCCGCGCUGCAUUAGCUAGUUGGUAAGGUAACGGCUUACCAAGGCAACGAUGCAUAGCCGACCUGAGAGGGUGAUCGGCCACACGGGAACUGAGACACGGUCCAGACUCCUACGGGAGGCAGCAGUAGGGAAUCUUCCGCAAUGGGCGAAAGCCUGACGGAGCAACGCCGCGUGAGUGAUGAAGGUCUUCGGAUCGUAAAACUCUGUUAUUAGGGAAGAACAUAUGUGUAAGUAACUGUGCACAUCUUGACGGUACCUAAUCAGAAAGCCACGGCUAACUACGUG